rnacentral:rRNA from 1 species
GGGGAAUAUUGCGCAAUGGGGGAAACCCUGACGCAGCAAUACCGCGUGAGUGAAGAAGGUUUUCGGAUCGUAAAGCUCUGUUAUUGGGGAAGAAAAAAAGACGGUACCCAAGAAGAAAGUCCCGGCUAACUACGUGCCAGCAGCCGCGGUAAUACGUAGGGGACAAGCGUUGUCCGGAUUUACUGGGCGUAAAGCGCGUGCAGGCGGCUAAUCAAGUUGGAUGUGAAAGCUCCCGGCUUAACUGGGAGAGGACGUUCAAAACUGAAUAGCUUGAGUAUGAGAGAGGAAAAUGGAAUUCCGGGUGUAGUGGUGAAAUGCGUAGAUAUCCGGAGGAACACCAGUGGCGAAGGCGAUUUUCUGGCUCAAGACUGACGCUCAGACGCGAAAGCUAGGGUAGCAAACA